rnacentral:rRNA from 1 species
UGGGGAAUAUUGGACAAUGGGCGCAAGCCUGAUCCAGCCAUGCCGCGUGAGUGAUGAAGGCCCUAGGGUUGUAAAGCUCUUUCACCGGUGAAGAUAAUGACGGUAACCGGAGAAGAAGCCCCGGCUAACUUCGUGCCAGUAGCCGCGGUAAUACGAAGGGGGCUAGCGUUGUUCGGAUUUACUGGGCGUAAAGCGCACGUAGGCGGACUUUUAAGUCAGGGGUGAAAUCCCGGGGCUCAACCCCGGAACUGCCUUUGAUACUGGAAGUCUUGAGUAUGGUAGAGGUGAGUGGAAUUCCGAGUGUAGAGGUGAAAUUCGUAGAUAUUCGGAGGAACACCAGUGGCGAAGGCGGCUCACUGGACCAUUACUGACGCUGAGGUGCGAAAGCGUGGGGAGCAAACAGG